AAGUCGUAACAAGGUUUCCGUAGGUGAACCUGCGGAAGGAUCAUUACCUAGAGUUUGUAGACUUCGGUCUGCUACCUCUUACCCAUGUCUUUUGAGUACCUUCGUUUCCUCGGCGGGUCCGCCCGCCGAUUGGACAACAUUCAAACCCUUUGCAGUUGCAAUCAGCGUCUGAAAAAACUUAAUAGUUACAACUUUCAACAACGGAUCUCUUGGUUCUG
rnacentral:misc_RNA from 1 species